UAGUAUGGAGACAAAAUAAGCUAGAGAGAAAUAUUAAAUCGCAAGUUAAAAGACAAAGGAAGAUAAAGCUUAACGUUAAUUGAAAAUCCAUUAAUCCAGCAGCAAAAACUUGUAACUUCAUACAACAAAAGUAGUAGUAUCAAAUUACGGAAAAACAAAACUGAAGCAAACGAAACACAAAUGGAGAGGGGGGAGAGCGAAAGACUUGUGGAGUAGAGUGGUCUAUUUAGAUCGCUGUCUCAUCUUUCGUCUCUUCCUCUUUAACCUCCUCAUACGCUUCUUCUUCCACUGAACCAACAAAAAAAUAAAACCAGAUCCACAAUUAAUAAUUCUUCAUUUAGAACGGAAAUGACUAAACUUGGCUCCAAAUGGGGCAGAUGAAUCAGACAAUGAACACAGGAAGACUAGAAGAUCACAAAAUACCUUAGCUCUCAUCACUCCUUUUUGCUCAAAACCCUAAUCCUGGUGAGAGUGACAAAAGACGAUGAAAGAUCGGAUAUAUAUUCUACAAACCCUAGACAUUGAAACGAGACCAAUAUACAAGUAGGCUUUUCCUAUUGGGCUUUUAAGGCCCAUAUUAUAUUCUCCCGAAAUAAGUUUAACCCAGUUACCUCAACCUCAAGUCCACCGUAUCUUAAGUAAACUCUCAUUCUUCAUUUCUAAAGUUCCGGCUUAAACCCCGACGAUGUCUC
rnacentral:lncRNA from 1 species